UACGGAGGAUGCAAGCGUUAUCCGGAAUGAUUGGGCGUAAAGCGUCCGCAGGUGGCUAUGUAAGUCUGCUGUUAAAGAGUGAGGCUCAACCUCAUAAGAGCAGUGGAAACUACACGGCUAGAGUGCGUUCGGGGCAGAGGGAAUUCCUGGUGUAGCGGUGAAAUGCGUAGAGAUCAGGAAGAACACCGGUGGCGAAAGCGCUCUGCUGGACCGCAACUGACACUCAGGGACGAAAGCUAGGGGAGCGAAUGGG
rnacentral:rRNA from 1 species